rnacentral:rRNA from 1 species
GAUGAACGCUAGCGGGAGGCUUAACACAUGCAAGUCGAGGGGUAAAUGGUAGCAAUACUAUGAGACCGGCGGACGGGUGCGUAACGCGUAUGCAACAUACCUUGUGCAGGGGGAUAGCCCGUGGAAACGCGGAUUAAUAUUCCAUAGUCCAGCUAUAUCGCAUGGUAUAGUUGGUAAAGAUUUAUCGGCACAAGUUUGGCAUGCGUCUGAUUAGCUUGUUGGUAGGGUAACGGCCUACCAAGGCUACGAUCAGUAGGGGUUCUGAGAGGAUUAACCCCCACACUGGUACUGAGACACGGACCAGACUCCUACGGGAGGCAGCAGUGAGGAAUAUUGGUCAAUGGGCGGAAGCCUGAACCAGCCAUCCCGCGUGAAGGAAGACAGCCUUACGGGUUGUAAACUUCUUUUCUGUCAGAAGAAUAAGCUUGUCGAGACGAGUGAUGCCGGUAUGACAGGAAUAAGCAUCGGACUAACUCCGUGCCAGCAGCCG